AGCAAAAUUACUCCUGUAUGUAUGUAUGUAUGUAUGUGUGUGUGUGUGUGUGUGUGUGUGUGUGUGUGUGUGUGUGUGUGUGUGUGUGUGUGUGUGUGUGUGUGUGCUCAAAAUGUGUUCCUUCAUAUUAUGCAGCCUUAUGUAGUAUUGGUACAGAGAGCAGUUAUAAGAGGAACCAUGAAACCAAGGGUGUGGCUAGUGAUCCACUGGGUACAGAAGCUCCACUAACAGCUGCCUUAUGAUCCGAUCCACGCAUUAACCUUAACCCUGAUUAACCCUAUAUUGUUUGUUGUUUUAACCUAGCGUUAGUGUAGCAUGUCAUUUUUGGCCACCAGUAGUUACUGUAGGUAGUUAGUUAGAAUACAGUUCUUUUCACUACAUUAGUAGUUAGAUUGCAGGUCUUUACAUUGCACUAGUAGUUAGAAUGCAGGUCUUUUCACUACCUUGGUAGUUAGAAUGCAGGUCUUUUCACUACCUUGGUAGUUAGAAUGCAGGUCUUUUCACUACCUUGGUAGUUAGAAUGCAGGUCUUUACACUACAUUAGUAGUUACAAUGCAAG
ensembl:lncRNA